UGUAUCAGCUUAAAGAUAACUUGGUCAUCUGUCACAGGACAUCUGCUUCCUGCAAACUGAGUCUGUCCUUUCUUUUCACUUACUUUUCAGUCCUGACCAUUGAAACACUGUGGUUUAAUUGUGCAAAACUGGGGUUCGAGAUCCAAGAUAUUGCUCAGAUUGUUCUGCAAUAAACUUCUGAUUCAGCAGUGUCAGCAGGACGGAGCCAAAUUAACCUCAUCUCUGCAGCCAUCAUAUGACAAUAGGAAUCUUGCUUCUGGAUCACUCAGACAGCUCUGUUGUCCAGAUGAUUUUUUGGAUGUGUGACUGUUCUAGUUGUCUUUGAUUUUCCAUUUAUACGUCUUGCUAAUUUCUUCAUGGCUUGCAGAAGGCAUUAAUGUCUUCUCUGGCCCUGCAGUUCCCACUCACAUAAAAGCUUCACCACAGUAUGCCCUUUUAUACCUUAGUCAUUCUUGCUUACUGCUCUACAAAGGGCAUAGCUGAUCCUGGGAAAUCUUUUUCUCUGGCAUGCUGAUGUAUUGUGCUUAAUGUAUUAUCAACAAUGACAGAGCGCCCUCAGGCAACUCCAGCAACACAGAAAGCAUAGGGGGUUUUAUACAACAGUUCUUUUGAAAACAAGUGUAUAUCCCACACAGAAAACUUCUCGCUUUGGUUUCCUGCAGGUUGAAGCAGCCGUUGAUGCUACACGGAAAGACAAGCCAAGGAGACCUUGCUCAGGUUUCCUUAUAUUCCAAAAAAAUAGGACACCAUCUUGGAGUAAUUUGAAUAAUAAUUUGAAGUUUAUCUUCCCCUGAUACCUUCAAGCCUGAAAGCUUCCUGAGCACCUCUGCUACACCCCCCAAGAAAAUUAUCUGCACAAAGCUAUCCAAACACAGUAUAUCUGUGAUUCCAUUUCCCUCUGAACUGUGGAGCA
rnacentral:lncRNA from 1 species